AAUGAACGCUGGCGGCGCGCUUAACACAUGCAAGUCGAGCGAGAAAGCUCCUUCGGGAGUGAGUACAGCGGCGGACGGGUGAGUAACACGUGAGAAUUUACCCUUUAGUGAGGAAUACCUUCGAGAAAUUGGAGUUAAUACCACAUACGUCCCUUCGGGGAGAAAGAUGGCCUCUUGCUGUCGCUAAAGGAUGAGCUUGCGGACUAUUAGCUUGUUGGUGAGGUAAAGGCUCACCAAGGCUGUGAUGGAUAGCCGACCUGAGAGGGUGAUCGGCCACACUGGAACUUAGACACGGUCCAG
rnacentral:rRNA from 1 species